rnacentral:rRNA from 1 species
UACGUAGGGUGCGAGCGUUAAUCGGAAUACUGGGCGUAAAGCGUGCGCAGGCGGUGAUGUAAGACAGAUGUGAAAUCCCCGGGCUCAACCUGGGAACUGCAUUUGUGACUGCAUCGCUGGAGUGCGGCAGAGGGGGAUGGAAUUCCGCGUGUAGCAGUGAAAUGCGUAGAUAUGCGGAGGAACACCGAUGGCGAAGGCAAUCCCCUGGGCCUGCACUGACGCUCAUGCACGAAAGCGUGGGGAGCAAACAG